GAUUAAAACUCCUACCAUGGAGAGCCAUCCAUUCAUAAAGUUAAUGGUGCUUAAACCUUAUGAAUUAAACAAGUCACAGAUGAUGCAAAUGUGAACUAACCAUUGAUUGUAGAUAGUCAGCCCCCAAAUAGCCACUAGUUGUUAGGAGCCCUCCUACCAUCACAUGCUUGGGCUGGCCCCUUGGGCUAGCUAAACGGGCCUGGCCCAUUCUGGAACGACCAAGGCGAUAAGAGCCUGGGAGAGGCGACGUCCAGGGCAUCCAGUGGAUCACGGCUUUGGCACGGCGGCUCUCUUCCCCUACCUCUCGUCCUCCUCCUUCUGUUCUUCCUGAUCCCCAAACCUUGUAUCUCCAUUGGUGUUGCUUGUAAUCAAAGAUUGUAUCCAAUAUAUAUUGAGAGAGACAUCUGGUACCCUACAUCUGGUAUUCAGAGCCAGGCCACCACCCUUUCACCAUCCAAUUUUCCCCAUUUUUUCUUCCACACCGAUUCAUCCGUUUCACCGGCGACGACGACAUGCCUGCCGACUUACCUCCGGAGUGGGAUGCCAUGCCUGCCAACGAGCAGUUGUUGUGGUAUCACAAGAGAUUAUGUGCUAAGGCAGAGGAGAUGAGCGCACUAUUGGGUGUUGCAAGCGCUGGUGACCCUCAUGUGGUUACCUCGCUUGUCGAUCCGGCAGCGUCAACCAUGACGCACACCUCGUCCAUGCUCGUCCCCAACGUCUCCUGCUCCACCACGAAGGCCCUGGAGAUUCCCAAGGUCGCCCAUGAUGCAACCCCGGUCUGCAUCGCGAUGUUGCCUAUCACCUGUUCGACGGAGUGCUCGACCCAGGUCGACACCAUCGACAACAUUGACGAGGUCCAUGAUCCCGCCACCGCCGUCGACCUCGAGCCCACGGUCGUCCCCAUCCACCAAGCAGUCGAGCAGCUCGCCCCGGAGCAGGCAAUGGCCUCUAGUGUCGAGGUCGUUUCUCAUGUGAAGACCACCACCGACGUCGACCCCAAGGCCGGCGUGCAGGAGCUCGAUGCCCUCUCUGUCGACACCUCCCCCCAAGUGAUGAGCAAGGCAGACCUCGACGUCGCCCUCAUCUUCUCCAGCGACCCUGCUUUGCCGGUGCUCACCAUGUGUUCGACAGGCAGUCUAAUCCAGGAUGGCGCAUGGGUGAAACCUGUUCAUCUUGUGGACAAGAGCAAAACCUCGUGCCUACCAUCGAUACAACACGGAAUCAGGAAGCAACCAUGACCGUCACUUGUGCGAGUGAGGACCAGACACAGUGGACACCUGUGAGGCCUAGCCCGUGGCCGUCUUUCAAGUUUCAUUCAGAUGCAAGUUAUCAGGAGGAGCCCUGUUCAGGUAUAUGUUGUCAAUCACAUGAAGUUUUAUGGUUCAGUUCUGAACUCGUUUUGAGGUUAUUCAGAGAUGUGGUUUUCCAUCAAGUUUCUUGUUGUGAGGUGAUUGCCAUGGAAGAGUACAUCAGUUGUUUGUCAAAUGCACAGUUGCAGUCUAGGAGUCCACCGGAUCAGGCACCAUCUAAUACUAAAGCAUUGAAUGAAUUGGCAUUUCUCAAUGCGGAUAUGUCUGCAAGCAUAAGUGUUGAUGCAUGGUUAAGCUUGAGAUUCCUUGGAACAAACCGUAGGCUCAUUGAUACUGCACCACACGCUGGUCGUUGGAUUUAUUUGGAUUUCAGCAACAUAGGUUGUUAGGGUCGGCAGUCCUAUAAAUGCUCUAUAGUGCAACUGAUGGCAGUAGCUGAAUAUUUUGCCCAUUGGGAUAUCAUCUAUGAUUUUGCUAAUGGAUUACAAAUCUAUAGAGUGCAUACAAAGGCACUACAGAUUGUGGACGAAUUAGGUAGUACCUUUCAAGUGGAAUUAUGCCAUGCUGGUGAUCUUAAGUGCAACCUCCCUCGACACUGCAUAACGAUACCCCGUGUUCAUAUUUUCUGCUUGUCGUCUUUGCAACAGAACACUGAUGAUUCAUGUUUCGCUAAGAAACUAUUACAUGAAGUCUGCUUUAUGCAGUCCUCUUAUAAAUUAUGUGCUCAAAAGGCACCAUCGGUGUUCAAGUUCAGUCACAAAAUUGUUCGCCUGAAGCUACCAAAUUACACGAAUGAAGGCAUUCCAUGUGUCCAGCCAACAUAUUACCUUGAAGGAGGCUCUGCUCAAGCAUAUUUGAAACUGCACGAAGUUUUGGCUGCUGUUGUUUACAUGUUUGAGGGUAGUACUAUUCAGAUCUGGGAGUUGUUUCUCUGUUUCGAGCGUCCACUGGACCAGGCAACACUCAAUACUAAACAGAUGCAGUUUGACUACAAGGACUUGCAGUUUGGUCCAUGCUACGUACCGCAGCAAAGUGAAGUUUUUCAGUUUUAUCUGGAUCGAACAAAAUUUCUGGGUUGCAGCCCUAUUUCUGAUAAAUUGCAGGGAAUUAUUCAUAUUAUGCAUGUCAGUGCACUGGAUGUUUUUGAGUCAAGAAGAAUUUAAAGGAGUGGUUGUGCUUCAAUCAACUUUCACACUAACAAUGCAUGGGAACGGUGCUCCAAUCUCCUUGGGAAUUGCAUAAGGAUACUUCCAGUGCAGCUCUCAUGCUCGUGGUUUUUGAAACGGGGCAAAAAUGAUUCAGGUUUCAAUGGUCAUGACAAGCUCCUUCACAGCAAGCAGCGAUUGGGUGCUCUAAGUACAACACUUCCAAGUAGUGUCUAUAUUCAGUUCGUGCAAUUUUGGCCAUUAUUGUCUUUUGCUCCAGCUGGUAUCACGAUGCAAUGGCAGUGGGACAAGCAUCAAUCGCGGGACAAAAAUUCACAACAUAUUUUUAUGUUGCCUCAACCCCUUUCUGAACCAAUAUUAUGUGAGGUUAACCAUGGCUGGUAUUUCGACACUCUCAAACUAUUUGCGAUUCAGGCUGUACAAUUUGCAACAGAGAUUCAUUAUUCAGAUUCCAGUCUAUUUGGUAGUGUAUCAUUCUCCUUUGGGCAUAAACAAAUGUUUUGCUGGACUCCAGAUACGCCAGCUAGUGGCGACCACCUUGAGCAAUUGUGGGAUCCUGGAGGCCUUGCAAGCUACAUAUGCAGUACAUGUGCAUUGACUUCCCUAGUGCAUUAUUUGUUUGCAGUUUGGCUUGCAUAUGCGACUCCUAUAUGCAUCCAGUUGGGAAUGGAGAAGCCAAUGGCCAGCGGCGAACUAAAUCAGGGGAUGACCAUCCAUUUCUUGCCUGGAACAUUGGAGCUUGAAUGCAGACUUGACAAGCUCAUAGCAAUACAGGGGUUCUUGCUGCCAUUAUAUUGCCAGUCAUGCAAGUCCAUGAGGAGUGGACAAAUCUGUGUGUGGGGCACACCUCAUGGUCUAGGAUGCUUCACAGUCAUCCAGGAAGGCUAUGGGACUUCAGCUUCCGAUCGAGGCACUUUUCAAGGAGGGAGGGUUUUCAUCACCAAUGUCGUUGUCGUCAUCGUGCAAGGCUCCAUCCACCACAAGUACUAUCUCAACUUCGAUCAAGACUAUGUUGGCAACGACCACUUCUGCGGCGCCUCUUGGGAUGGAGUCACCAUCGGCCACGGCUACUCCAACCUUGUCGUUCAAGCCAACCCCGACUUCGACUACCAUCAAGACUUCAAGCUAGUCAAGGAACGCCGCAUGCAAUGGGAUCAUGGCGGCUCUUGGUGGUGUCGGCUUGGGGUCAAGCCGCAUUUCAAGGAGGGGGAUGUUAGGAGCCCUCCUACUAUCACAUGCUUGGGCUGGCCCCUUGGGCCAGCUAAACGGGCUUGGCCCAUUCUGGAAUGACCAAGGCGAUAAGAGCCUAGGAGAGGCGACGUCCAGGGCAUCCAGUGGAUCACGGCUUUGGCACAGCGACUCUCUUCCCCUACCUCUUGUCCUCCUCCUUCUGUUCUUCCUGAUCCCCAAACCUUGUAUCUCCAUUGGUGUUGCUUGUAACCAAAGCUUGUAUCCAAUAGAUAUUGAGAGAGACAUCUGAUACCCUACACUAGUGGCACGGAACCGAUUGUCCAAGAGUAAGUAAUAUGCAACAGUUGCCUGGAAAAAUUGUCUAAAGUCAAUUAUGAAAUAACUG
rnacentral:rRNA from 1 species